CCUUAUUAUACUGGGUUCGAGCACGGGGGCAACCUCACUCGCGAUCGAGCUAGUUUUUGAACGUGACAGCAUCUUUGACAGUGUGUUUCAGGUUUGUUUUGGAAUGUCUUCUGCUUAGUUCAAGUAGUUUGCGAUGGCUUCGAGCGGUGCUAAACCUCCUGCUGGUAGGAGCAGAGUCUCCGAGAGAGACAUGGACUGUGAGGCCGCUGCAGGAUUUUUUCAAGGCGCGGGAGGGAACGAUCUCGGGCCACAAACAGGAGUUACUCCAGAGAGCCAUCUUCUAUGAAGGUAACCGUGGUGCUGCCAAGUCACCAAGUCGCGAUCAGCAGCCCUGAAGUGGAAAAAUCGAUUUUCCAACGAUCUGCUUGGACAUCAGCCACUAAAGUACUUCUGAUUUGCCUGUAGUGACAACAGCAGCCAUCCUUGGACACCUUGCAAAGAUAGGAAAAGCCACUGGCGGAAGCGACUGCUAUGGGGUGACGAUAGCAGUGCAGUGGUGAUCGCUGUUUUGUCAAGUCGAAGGGCUAGCCAACCCAGAGGAAGCAUAAAAAAACGAUGAGCAGUGCGUGGUAUUUGUUGAGCGUGAAGAGCUAGAGGAGGACAGUGCAAACACAUGGACGGAGUGGAUGGUGUUUGAAGAACAGUGUGCUGUGUGCCGGCUGGUGGUGAUGGUGGUCUUUGUCAGCAUGUAUUCGUGCUGCUUCUUGUGCUGGAACACUUCUCGCCCAGGAAGGCAGAUUGCGUGCUCCCUGGCCCUCAGUUGGCAAUGGGGCAUUUGUUCCAGGAACAUUACCCCAGAGCCAAUGAUGAGUCGUACCUUUGAAAAGUCGAAGCUUGCUUUUAAUCGCAAGCGUAGCGCAGUGGAUUGCUCUCUCUUUGAAGCACGAGGGCUAAAGCUUGCCGCUGUCUGCAGCAAAGUGUGUGUGCGGUUCUUUCGAACCUAUGAAUAUACCCCCUGCAUGUUCAGAGUGAACUAUUUUCUAGUAUAUUUAACAUCCUCAACCCGCCACCACCAUGCGCUCUUGGCCGAACUAAUGCACGAAGCAUAAACACACCAGCACAGCAAGGACACUUCCGUUGACAGAUA